rnacentral:sRNA from 1 species
CUUUUUCUCUGUUUUCUCUGU